UACGAAGGGGGCUAGCGUUGCUCGGAAUCACUGGGCGUAAAGGGCGCGUAGGCGGGAUGGCAAGUCAGUCGUGAAAUCUCUCGGCUCAACCGAGAAACGUCGGCUGAUACUGCCGUUCUUGAGGGAUGCAGAGGAGACUGGAAUUCCCGGUGUAGCGGUGAAAUGUGUAGAGAUCGGGAGGAGCACCGGUGGCGAAGGCGGGUCUCUGGGCAUUUCCUGACGCUGAGGCGCGAAAGCGUGGGGAGCAAACGGG
rnacentral:rRNA from 1 species